GAUGAACGCUGGCGGCGUGCUUAACACAUGCAAGUCGAACGGAAAGGCCCAAGCUUGCUUGGGUGCUCGAGUGGCGAACGGGUGAGUAACACGUGGGUGAUCUGCCCUGCACUUUGGGAUAAGACUGGGAAACUGGGUCUAAUACCGGAUAGGACCUUCGUUUAGUGUCGGUGGUGGAAAGUUUUUCGGUGUGGGAUGAGCUCGCGGCCUAACGGCUUGUUGGUGGGGUAAUGGCCUACCAAGGCGUCGACGGGUAGCCGGCCUGAGAGGGUGUACGGCCACCUUGGGACUGAGAUACGGCCCAGGCUCCUACGGGAGGGAGCAGUGGGGAAUAUUGCACAAUCGGCGCAGGCCGGAUGCAGCGGCGCCGCGUGGGGGAUGACGGCCUUCGGGUUGUAGACUCCUUUCGCCAAGGACGAAGCGUUUUGUGACGGUACUUGGUGAAGAAGCACCGGCUAACUACGUG
rnacentral:rRNA from 1 species